rnacentral:rRNA from 1 species
AUUCCGGUUGAUCCUGCCGGAGGCCAUUGCUAUCGGAGUCCGAUUUAGCCAUGCUAGUCGAGCGAGGUUAGCCCUCGCGGCGAACAGCUCAGUAACACGUGGCCAAGCUACCCUGCAGAGGGGGACAGCGUCGGGAAACUGACGGGAAUCCCCCAUACCGGUCUCACGCUGGAAUGCCGAGACCGACAAACGCUCCGGCGCUGCAGGAUGCGGCUGCGGCCGAUUAGGUAGUCGGUGGGGUAACGGCCCACCGAGCCGAUAAUUGGUACGGGGUGUGAGAGCACGAGCCCGGAGACGGAAUCUGAGACAAGAUUCCGGGCCCUACGGGGCGCAGCAGGCGCGAAACCUUUACACUGCACGAAGGUGCGAUAAGGGGACUCCGAGUGCGAGGGCAUACAGUCCUCGCUAUUGUGUACCGUAGGGUGGUACACGACCAAGAGCUGGGCAAGACCGGUGCCAGCCGCCGCGGUAAUACCGGCAGCUCGAGUGAUGGCCGAUUUUAUUGGGCCUAAAGCGUCCGUAGCU